rnacentral:rRNA from 1 species
UACGAAGGGGGCUAGCGUUGCUCGGAUUGACUGGGCGUAAAGGGCGCGUAGGCGGUUCGUACAGUCAGACGUGAAAUUCCUGGCUCAACCUGGGGGCUGCGUUUGAUACGUGCGGACUUGAGUGCGGAAGAGGGUCGUGGAAUUCCCAGUGUAGAGGUGAAAUUCGUAGAUAUUGGGAAGAACACCGGUGGCGAAGGCGGCGACCUGGUCCGAUACUGACGCUGAGGCGCGAAAGCGUGGGGAGCAAACAGG